GAACGAACGCUGGCGGCAGGCUUAACACAUGCAAGUCGAGCGCCCUCUUCGGAGGGAGCGGCAGACGGGUGAGUAACACGUGGGAAUCUACCCAUCUCUAGGGAAUAACUCAGGGAAACUUGUGCUAAUACCCUAUACGCCCUUUGGGGGAAAGAUUUAUCGGAGAUGGAUGAGCCCGCGUUGGAUUAGCUAGUUGGUGAGGUAAUGGCUCACCAAGGCGACGAUCCAUAGCUGGUCUGAGAGGAUGAUCAGCCACACUGGGACUGAGACACGGCCCAGACUCCUACGGGAGGCAGCAGUGGGGAAUAUUGGACAAUGGGCGCAAGCCUGAUCCAGCCAUGCCGCGUGUGUGAUGAAGGCCUUAGGGUUGUAAAGCACUUUCACCGAUGAAGAUAAUGACGGUAGUCGGAGAAGAAGCCCCGGCUAACUUC
rnacentral:rRNA from 1 species